GACGAACGCUGGCGGCGUGCUUAACACAUGCAAGUCGAACGGAAAGGCCCUGCUUUUGUGGGGUGCUCGAGUGGCGAACGGGUGAGUAACACGUGAGUAACCUGCCCUUGACUUUGGGAUAACUUCAGGAAACUGGGGCUAAUACCGGAUAGGAGCUCCUGCUGCAUGGUGGGGGUUGGAAAGUUUCGGCGGUUGGGGAUGGACUCGCGGCUUAUCAGCUUGUUGGUGGGGUAGUGGCUUACCAAGGCUUUGACGGGUAGCCGGCCUGAGAGGGUGACCGGCCACAUUGGGACUGAGAUACGGCCCAGACUCCUACGGGAGGCAGCAGUGGGGAAUAUUGAACAAUGGGCGGAAGCCUGAUGCAGCAACGCCGCGUGCGGGAUGACGGCCUUCGGGUUGUAAACCGCUUUCGCCUGUGACGAAGCGUGAGUGACGGUAAUGGGUAAAGAAGCACCAGCUAACUACGUG
rnacentral:rRNA from 1 species